UGGCCUACGGAGGCAGCAGUGGGGGAUAUUGCACAAUGGGGGGAACCCUGAUGCAGCGACGCCGCGUGGGUGAAGAAGCGCCUCGGCGCGUAAAGCCCUGUCAGCAGGGAAGAAAAUGACGGUACCUGAAGAAGAAGCCCCGGCUAACUACGUGCCAGCAGCCGCGGUAAUGCGUAGGGGGCAAGCGUUAUCCGGAUUUACUGGGUGUAAAGGGGGCGCAGACGGCAGAGCAAGUCUGAAGUGAAAGCCCGCGGCCCAACUGCGGGACUGCUUUGGAAACUGCCCGGCUAGAGUGCUGGAGAGGG
rnacentral:rRNA from 1 species